rnacentral:rRNA from 1 species
UACAGAGGGUGCAAGCGUUGUUCGGAAUUAUUGGGCGUAAAGAGCGUGUAGGCGGCCGUACAGGUCAGCUGUGAAAACUCGAGGCUCAACCUCGAGACGUCGGUUGAAACCGUACGGCUAGAGUCCGGAAGAGGAGAGUGGAAUUCCCGGUGUAGCGGUGAAAUGCGUAGAUAUCGGGAAGAACACCAAAGGCGAAAGCGCUCUGCUGGGCCGAAACUGACACUGAGAGACGAAAGCUAGGGGAGCGAAUGGG